GUCUAACUCUACCUCUCAUUCUCUUCUCUUCCUCUCUCGUUCUCUUCUUUAAUUCAUUUUCUUGCUCUUUCGAAAAAUAAAAUCAUUCGAUCAAUAUUUUCAAAUCGUUCAAAUGAAAACUUAGGUUCUUCAUAUUUUGGGUUGUCGCUGCUGAUAUUUAUGAAAGGUGGUAAUCUUAUUGAUGUAUGGUAUCCCUAGAACUUCGAUCGAUGAUCUGCAAUCACUUGUGGUGGGAGGAAAGAAAAUUUUCUGCAUCAUUGUAAUCCUAAUUUGAAAUGAUUAUACACGAUUUUGUAAAACAGGGAAAUUAGGUUUAUAUCAAUUUAGGGUUUUUAUAUAAUUUGAUGGUUAAGCAUCAAAUUCUGAUAAUUUAGAGUUCUUGAAUGAAUGAAAUUAUUAGGUUUUGUAUCUAAUUCGAGAUUGCAGGGGUUUAGAAUAAUAAUUGGAGCUAUAAAAAGGAUGAGACUAGGGAAACAGAAAGACACAAUCGAUUACACCCCUUGCAUGCUUGAGAAAGUCUCCACAGAUGCAUGAGAUGCACCAUCUUUUCCAUCACCUAAAUAAGUAUACUAUCCACUAUUCGCCACCACCAGCUUGUUCUCACACAUCCCCAUCUUCAGAACCAUUUAUCCCAGACAGUUCAGGGUGCAAGUAGGAGAAAACUGAUGGUGCACUGUGUGAGGAGAUGUUAUGAGCUUGUGUAUGGACUGUUGGUGUGGACGCGAGCAGGUGAUAUAGGAGGUAGCUGGUGAUGGUGGUAAAGGUCGGCGAGAGAAGUUUUUCUGUUGGUAGAGUUCAGGUCGUGUAUUUGGUAAUAGAAAGUGAUACUAGGUGGCAUUGGACGUACAAAUGAUGUAUGAAGGAACUUCAGGGUAGUGUAAAUGUCUUAUUUGAUAGCAUGAUAACCAAAGGUAAAGUUUCUUGCUGACGCUGUUUUAUAAGUAACCUACAUCUUGUAAACCUUGAACAUGCAUGAUAUAGUUUAACAUAUGAAACUCAUAUUAUUUCAGCAUGUUCCUAAAUUUGGAAAUCUGUUAAACACAAAUGUGACUUUUUGUGGUGCUCCAUCGGUUUAUUCUUCUAAAUGAUUGUUCAGCUGUAGGAUAGCUCAGGUUCUUGAUUCCACUUUUGAAUUGCAGCUACGUUCAGGACAUAAGCAAAUGAGGAAAUAAAUAGGUAUUGCAGCUGGAUUGUCCAUUUACUUGUGAUUUGUUUUGUUUAGUUUUUAUGUAUAAUGACAUGUUACCCUCAGUAGUUUGAGUAAUACCAUCUCCCAAUUUCAAGCUAUAGUUGAUUUUAACCAUGCUGCGAAAACAUUAAAGAAAUACAAGCAGUCUUGAUGGGGAGAUAGAGUUAGAACAACCACUGUCAGAAAGGAUCAUACUUCAUCUGGUUUAAGGUAGCAAUAUGUUUCUUCUGUUGAUUCAUAUUCGUUACCGCUAGUAAUUUCUGGUAUAACACUCUAACUCAUCCAGGAAAAAAAAGAAAGAGUAUAUGCUAUGAAAGAUUGUGAAACAAGUCCUUGUGCAUCAUUCUCGAGUAUAACUGCACUUUCGGAAUAUGCAACCGGGCUUCUUAGUUAUUGUGCUUGGCAUUAGUUACGGUUGUUAACACUGUAUACAUUCUUGUGUUAACUCUUUUAUUGUAUCUUGAGAUCUAGCAUUCCGUGACUUGUUUUUGUGUAGGUUGCAGAAUAAGGGUUUGUGGAUUGAUAUUAUCAAGUUGGAGACAAUAAGUUUUCUUUUUAUCAACUGGCGCAGAGGUCGAAUGUUUUUAUGUAGAAAAUUUUAUAAUUCCGAUGAGAAGUCAAAAGAGCAACAGAAUUGUUAGUGAAUGUUGCUGGUCAUGGUGAAGACAACAGGUUUUGAGGUGCCUUGCCUCAUCGUUUUGGCUAAGGAUGAUCUUGAUCCUUUUGUACUGUCCAUACAAAAUUCAACCAGGAUAUGCGUUAGUGAGAUAUGGCCAUCUUGUCUAUACCAAAAUCAUGUGUUGAUUAACCACUUUGUUGAUGUUAAGGGAUUUGUCCCAAGAUCCAGUUUCUGUUAUUCAACUAGUUUCCGGGUAUGGACUUGCCAUACUUAUAUCUCUUCCCAAUUUUAUCUAGCAGGUGUUGGAAUUAGAGGUGUAGGUGUUGGAGGAGAUGAUCAAAAGGCGUCAAGCAUAAAUGCUUUAACUGAUGAUUACCAUGAUCACCUCGGCAAAGUUCAAGGUUCUUCAUUUUAUUGUAUCUGAAAAACCAAUAGUAUACUUGUCAUUUUUUUUGAUACUACCCAAAAACUUGUAUGUCCUUGGAACUUUUGUGAUGUGUGUCUUACUUUUUGUGUAUAUGGAGUUAAUCAUUAAAUGUUAUGGUGAAUUAAAUUGAAAGAAAUAUUUUAUUGAUACUUUUGGU